AUCUGRCCUGUAUUCAGCUAUUCGGCCGCUGGCGUCAGGGUGCCGCUUUCCAGACUGGGACGGUGCUUUGUGCUGCUGGUGGUCGCGUGGUGCAUUUGCAGGUGGAGUGCGCUGAGGCGCUUAGGGUAGCGGCAUGAACUCAGUUUUGAGGCCAGCCCGCAAGGGUCUGGUACCCGAGCUGGGGGAGUGCUGUUUGUCCUGGGUGUUGUCUCGAGUAUGGCUUACGGGCUCGGGUGGGCGCCGAGCUGGCAACCGGUGGCGGUCGCAUGCGACACGUGCCAGUGGUCAGUUCGGUCCUAUUCGAGCUCACAUGCUCAUCCUCGGUGUAAAAGCUGGUCAUCCMUCCGACCCGUCUUGAAACACGGACCAAGGAGUUUAGCGUGUGCGCGAGUCAUUGGGCGUUGAAAACCCAARGGCGCAAUGAAAGUGAAGGUCCCSCAAGGGGCUGACGUGCGAUCUUGUGCACCACGGUGUGCAGGCGCAGCAUGGUCCCGUCCCGACUG
rnacentral:rRNA from 1 species